rnacentral:rRNA from 1 species
CCUACGGGAGGCAGCAGUGGGGAAUAUUGGACAAUGGGGGCAACCCUGAUCCAGCCAUGCCGCGUGUGUGAAGAAGGCCCUCGGGUUGUAAAGCACUUUCAGUGAGGAAGAACGCCUGGUGGUUAAUACCCAUCAGGAAAGACAUCACUCACAGAAGAAGCACCGGCUAACUCCGUGCCAGCAGCCGCGGUAAUACGGAGGGUGCGAGCGUUAAUCGGAAUUACUGGGCGUAAAGCGCGCGUAGGUGGCUUGAUAAGCCGGUUGUGAAAGCCCCGGGCUCAACCUGGGAACGGCAUCCGAAACUGUCAAGCUAGAGUGCAGGAGAGGAAGGUAGAAUUCCCGGUGUAGCGGUGAAAUGCGUAGAGAUCGGGAGGAAUACCAGUGGCGAAGGCGGCCUUCUGGACUGACACUGACACUGAGGUGCGAAAGCGUGGGUAGCAAACAGGAUUAGAUACCCCUGUAGUC